AUAAGUCGUAAUCCAGGUAAUCAAUAUAUUUGAGUUAAUAUGAUUUGGCAAUGUAGACAAUAUAGAAGGGUACAAGGCAUGUAUCUAACUAUUUUUAUCGACAAACGUCAUCCCCUCCUCCCUUAAAAAACCAUUACCGCUGGAUGAGGGACGUAUUACAUGUACGUCUAUUAAAAUCAUACGCAACUGACCACAAUUAAGCAUUACAUUUUUGUUGUCGAUGAUUGAUUCAAACAAGACGUUUUGAACGAGCAGUAAAAUGUAAAAAUGUAGUCAAAAGAAAACAGAAAAGAGCUACCGAAAGCAGGCAUUUUCUCAAC
rnacentral:lncRNA from 1 species